rnacentral:sRNA from 1 species
GCUGGGUGCACUGUGUGAGCACCUGUAGUCCUAGCACCUGGGAGGCUGAGGCAGGAAGAUCGCCUGAGCCCAGGGGUUCAAGAUGAGCCUGGACAACCAAGUGAGACCCCAUCACAA